rnacentral:rRNA from 1 species
AUGACCAGCCGCCACCGCCCGCUGCCGUCGCCGGCGGCGGGUCCACUGGAGAACAACGACCUGCUCUCCGAGAUCCUCCUCCGCCUCCCCCCGCAGCCGUCCUCCCUCCCCCGCGCCUCCGUCGUCUGCACGCGCUGGCGCAGCCUCGCCUUCGACCCUGGCUUCUGCCGCCGUUUCCGCAUCCACCACCGCCGCAAUCCUCCCCUCCUCGGUUUCUUUGGCAAUAAUCUCGGCCGCUCCUUCCUACCUACUCUGGAGGCGCCCAAUCGUGUCCCGUCCGGGCGCUUCUCCUUGCAGCCCCGCGACGGCGACUCGAUCCCCUUCCGGUGCAUCGGAUGCCGCCAUGGCCUCGUGCUAGUCUUCGACCUGAGGCGCCUUUACCUUGUGUGGGACCCCGUCACCGGCCACCAGCGCCGCCUAGCCUGCCCCACGGGGUUCGAUCCGGAGGGUUCGAUCGUCAACGGGGCGGUGCUUCGUGCUGGGCCAGACGCCCAGCAUUUCCAGGUGGUCUUGGUAGCGGCAGGCGAAGCCGACAAUCAACAAAGCCGGGUGUUCGCCUGCGUUUACUCGUCGGAGACCGGCGUAUGGGGUAAUAUCAUCUUCUCAACAUGGAUUCAGUCCGAGCUUACGCACGACCUUCCCAUCGCAAUUGAUACAGUGCCUGCUGUGCUGGUUGGGCGUUCCCUUUACUGGUUACUUAGGAGUUCAUCAAGCCACUCUCCAUUUAAUGCGGAGAAGCAAAUCAUUGAGUUUGAUUUAGAGAAGCAGAAGCUUGCUGUGAUACGGAUGCCAGGGGCGGUGGAUGUUUUUCUAGGCCGUGUAACAGUCGUGCAGGAAGACGGUGGUGGGCUGGGUUUCCUCAUCGUGAAAGACCUCACUGCCCAAGCUCAAUUAUGGAAGAGGAAGAUGGAUUCUGAUGGUGUUGGCUCAUGGGAACUGAAAAGAACCAUUGAUCUGAAUAAACUUCUUUCCCUGAAUUUAGAGAAGCAUAUAGGGAUAAUACAAUUUGCCGAGGACAAUAAUUUGCUGGUUCUGCCCACCGUUUUCGGCCUCUUCACAGUUCAGCUUCAGUCAUUGCAGUACAAGAAACUUUCUGGAUACAACAAACUUUGUCACCUUCAUCCAUUCGAAAGUGUCUACAUUGCAGAAACAGGCAUCGGUGGUGGACAUGGUGCACCUGAUCUUUUGCAAAACACAUAA